rnacentral:misc_RNA from 1 species
AAGUCGUAACAAGGUAACCGUAGGUGAACCUGCGGUUGGAUCAUUAUUGAAAAUUAUAAAUUCUUCAGUCUUUUUAUUAUCUAUCAUAACUUUUAAGUUGUAGUAGAUUUUAAAAAGACGACACCUUUUUAACCACAAAAAAGUGUGAAUUUCUAAAAAUUGUAUCUUAUUAUAAUCUUUUUUCAAUUUAUGAGUGUUCUCUUCUUUAAAGAAGUAAAUUCUUAUAUUAUGAAAAUAAGUAUUAUAAUAACCUAAAACAUUUUUCAAUUGUUUUGUUCUUUUUUCAAAAGUAGCAUUUUAAUUAAAUACUACUGAUAAAAAAAAAUGAAAACAACUUUUGACAACGGAUCUCUUGGCUCUC